GACGAACGCUGGCGGCGUGCUUAACACAUGCAAGUCGAACGGAAAGGCCCCUUUGGGGGUACUCGAGUGGCGAACGGGUGAGUAACACGUGAGUAACCUGCCCUUGACUUCGGGAUAACUUCAGGAAACUAGGGCUAAUACCGGAUAGGAAUCCUUGCUGCAUGGUGGGGGUUGGAAAGCUUCGGCGGUUUUGGAUGGACUCGCGGCUUAUCAGCUUGUUGGUGGGGUAGUGGCUUACCAAGGCUUUGACGGGUAGCCGGCCUGAGAGGGCGACCGGCCACAUUGGGACUGAGAUACGGCCCAGACUCCUACGGGAGGCAGCAGUGGGGAAUAUUGCACAAUGGGCGGAAGCCUGAUGCAGCAACGCCGCGUGCGGGAUGACGGCCUUCGGGUUGUAAACCGCUUUCAGCAGGGGCGAAGCUUGUGGUGACGGUACCUGCAGAAGAAGCACCGGCUAACUACGUG
rnacentral:rRNA from 1 species